CAAGAACUGAAGCGAUGAACUUUUCCAGCCCACGUGGAUGUCCUGGAUCCCGAACCACAGCGGCUCUCCAUCCCUCGGCACCAGCUCCUUUGUGACCGUGCUCCCCCACACCACGACGUUCCUUCUGGCUCUUCUCCAAUUCCAGACUGAUUCGUGUUCACUCAUACAGCCUCUUCGACUGCAGUGCCCAGAAGUGGAGGCAAUGAGACUUAAGUGAGCAUCCUCUGCUUUUGAAAUGAAUACGUUCUCUUGAAAUCAGUCUUUGCUGAGGAAAAAAAAGACCACUUUCGAAGGAAAUGCACCAUCUGGAGAGGCUUUACUGGUACAAAAAGUUGACUUUCUGUUGCUUCAGUAUCUGACACAGUGAGAGAUGUCUCCAUGAGGUCCUCCGCACUACGAUGGCUGUUGCAGAGCGGCUGCAGCGUUGCAAUGGUGCUGAUGUCUGGGCAGACCUGAAGGUACAGCAGAUCCCACCACGUUGAGGAGAUCCAAGCUGGCCAUUGGCAUGAGUUUAAUGCAGAGGGUGAUACAGCAACAGGAAGCUCAGCACACUGCCAAAAAGAGCCCAAAGGACAUGGGGCGUUCACCCUGCAUUGACCAGGCAGCCCUGUGCUGUUCCAGCUCUCCUGUUUGGAGUGGCACUGGUGGAGUCUCCAACCAUUUGAUAGUUAAAAGGAAGUUUAGCCAACAAAAAAGCCCAAGAGAGAAACCUUUCAGUGCCUUAAAGCAGCCACAAGUGCUGCAUAUCCCAGGAGAGCUGGGCUGUAAUUCCUGCUAGCUUAGCAUCAAAGGGUGCUCCGAAACUUUACCUUCCUGGUGACGUCUCUUCUUCCCAAUGAAAGAUGACCCAGGUGACCCCUGAUUGAAUGUCUCGAUAGUCCAGAAGGCAGGGAGCAAGAUAAUUAGAGCCACCGCUCUGAUCACAGGAGGGAGGUGAAGCCCAGGUAGGGGCUGAACAAAGCUCCUUUCAAUAGCGGGUGUGACGGCGGCGAUGGUCACAGAGGGGCUGGGGAGGGGGCAGGAGAGGGCUUUAAAGGGGGUUAAGGAGCUUAUUUUUGAAUAAAGGGUGCAGGAAGCUGGUUGUUAUCAUCCCAGUGCCAUUCAGGCUGCAGGUGUGACUUAAUCUCCUGGCUGUGGGUGUCAGCAUCGUCCGGAGCUCAGCCUGCACGGGAGCGACCACGCUUCCCACACCACUGCGGCAGACCUAUGCAUCCAAACCUGUGCAUAUCACCCAAAUGAUGAGGUAUUUUAAAAGUCCACAUCUUUGGCGUUCUUUGUACCUUCACAGCAUGAAGACAUCUCAUCUCCAAGCUUUGGAGAUCCUCCUCCCAGUGCAAAGGCACGAGAUCUGUGACUCGAUGUCAAGAGAUAGCAGCAAUCCGCCCCGUGCAUCACUGUCCCAACUCCAGUUUCUCCUUGCAACCUGGCAGCCCUUCCUCCUUAAAGCUCACCAUCUUCCACCACAGUUCCUCCUACAGCUCCCACUUCUCCACCUCCCCGUAGAGCUCUCAUGGGCAGCACCGCGUAUUUCCAGUGCUGGAUCAAGGCUGCUAUUAGCCCUCACCUGGACCCUCGCUGUCUCAUUCACUCAUAUCCAACCUUUUUAGAUCCUUGUCCUGUUUCCCUCCCCCAGACAAGGAGCAUUAAGGAAAAAACGAUGAAAAGCCACAGCCAUCCAACUGAAAGCUCCCGCUUCCUCUUUGCUGCUUCUUCCCCCCCCCCCAUUUUUGCUGGAGCCCCAGGAAGCACCCACACAAGUGUAAAAUUGCUUCCAUGCCGGGCUCUGCUCACGUUAAAGCCCUCUGACUGCUGGUGCACAAGUCCCUGCACAGCACAAAUUGGACCAAUUUGGAGCGAUUAGUGAAGAAUUCACAUAUGGUGCCCAGCCAACACCGUGGACUGAUCGCCUCCUGCAGCCCAUUAAGGGCCAUUUAUUGUGAUGGGCCCAUUUGUCUUUGUUGUUAGUUCUGGCAUGGCUGGUGACAGCUCUUUGGCUGGCCACCGGGCCAACCUCUCCCUGCCAUCAUCUCGGGGGUAGGAGGGCAAAGCUGAGACACACAUUGAGGCUGACACCAGCUGAUGGAUGUCCCCAGGAGCCAUGCCAGGCUGGAGCAGCAGGAGGAACUACCAGUUGGGGUUGUGCGUUGGGUCCAGUGGCCAUGCAGGGAAUGAAGCUGUGUCUACGUACAGUGGUUGAACUGAGAUGAUGGUACCAACGAGGUGACGUGAUAGAGAACUGCCCUUCCCCUGCGACCCCAAUGCUUAAGGGCUUCCAGCAGAAAGCUUGCAUAGAAAGCUUCGUGUCUUCCAACCAUCCUUCAGCCAAAGUUGAAGCCCGUGGGCUUCGAAGGCCAAAGGAUGGAUGCUGAGGACCAACCAAAGCAGGCAGGCUGGCCGCAGGAACACACCUCCAUGCUUUCUGCAGCUCCAGAAAGAAUGGGGAAAGAAAGAAGCAGCAGAGAACGCACUGAGGAGUGCCCUUGGAACAUAUUUUACCAUGGCUGGAGUUGAGCUGUUGCCCAGAUGACCGUGAGUUCACUUCCAGUAGCAAAAAGAUGCUUUCUGCUGCCACCAUUCCUCUGGCAAAGCAAGGUGAAUAGGCCAACGUAUGUUUACAUUGGUGUAAUGAUAACCAGACUGGUGGUUAUGUGUACAUGACUACAGAGCAAAAAAAUUCAUGCCCUGUAACUGACACAGGUGUCACAGCUCAGAACCGUCAGCAGGGCCGAGCAAUUUUAGAGGGACUAAAAUGGAAAGCAAAUGGUGCCACGUGGCGCUUUGCUUUCACAGAUGAGGAUUUUGAGGAGUUUGGAAUUUGGAAUUUCUCUUUCAAAAUCGAUCCUUUCAUGGCACGAGAGCUGAGAUGGGAAGAGAACAACCAAGGGACUUUAAUAUCAUAAAUGAAAUAUUUCCAUUCUUUGAGCUAUUGUUCUGACCAAAGCACUCGCCCACAAUUACCAUAAAAGCCUGCAAUUGAGCAGAAUUUACGGUUAUUGGUUAAAAAAAAAGGGAAAAAAACCAAUUUCAGAGCAAUCUUUUUGCCUCCUUUUGGCCCAGGUCCUCUUUGAAAUGGCAUUUAUGAAGGCUGACCUGUUUUUAACCUUCCUACAAGGGAAAAAACAGAUCAACACAAUCCCCCUCCCCAGCAGUCAACUUUCCCUGGCGGAGCUGAGCCAUAUUUUAACACCUCGGUCCCUUUGACAGCACCAUCCUAUGGGCUGCCAUGCGCUGACAGCCCCCAUUGUGUCCUUCCAGGGUAAUUAAGAACUUGAUCCAGAGCUUUUAAACCUCUUGGGCUGACGGAUACCCUCUGAAGCAAGGCACUGUCACUCUUUGGGGUGCUAAAAGGUUUCUGUCCCAGGCCAAGGGGCACCGGGACACCUGGGUCCG
rnacentral:lncRNA from 1 species